rnacentral:rRNA from 1 species
UACGUAUGGUGCAAGCGUUAUCCGGAUUUACUGGGUGUAAAGGGAGCGCAGGCGGUGCGGCAAGUCUGAUGUGAAAGCCCGGAGCUCAACCCCGGUACUGCAUUGGAAACUGUCGUACUAGAGUGUCGGAGGGGCAAGCGGAAUUCCUAGUGUAGCGGUGAAAUGCGUAGAUAUUAGGAGGAACACCAGUGGCGAAGGCGGCUUACUGGACGAUAACUGACGCUGAGGCUCGAAAGCGUGGGGAGCAAACAGG